rnacentral:piRNA from 1 species
UAAGAUUAAGAACGGUCACCUGGUGGGGUC